rnacentral:rRNA from 1 species
AAUAUUGGACAAUGGGGCAACCCUGAUCCAGCCAUGCCGCGUGUGUUAAGAAUGUCUUCGGAUUGUAAAGCACUUUAAGUUGGGAGGAUGGGCUUUAGGUUAAUACCCUGAAGUUUUGACGUUACAACCAGAAUAAGCACCGGCUAACUCUGUGCUCGCAGCCGCGGUAAUACAGAGGGUGCAAGCGUUACUCGGAAUUACUGGGCGUAAAGCGAGCGUAGGUGGUUCAGUAAGAUGGGUGUGAAAUCCCCGGGCUUAACCUGGGAACUGCUUUCAUAACUGCUGAGCUAGAGUACGGUAGAGGGUAGUGGAAUGUCCUGUGUAGCGGUGAAAUGCGUAGAUAUAGGAAGGAACACCAGUGGCGAAGGCGACUACCUGGACUGAUACUGACACUGAGGUGCGAAAGCGUGGGGAGCAAAC